GACAGAGGUGCCAAGCGUUAGGCGGAAUCACUGGGCUUAAAGCGUGUGUAGGCGGGCGAUCAAGUACCUUGUGAAAUCCCACGGCUCAACCGUGGAACUGCUGGGUAUACUGGUUGUCUUGAGCCAGCUAGGGGCGAGCGGAACAGACGGUGGAGCGGUGAAAUGCGCAGAUAUCAGGAGGAACACCGGUGGCGAAGGCGGGUCUCUGGGCAGUAACUGACGCUGAGGAGCGAAAGCGUGGGGAGCGAACAGG
rnacentral:rRNA from 1 species